GCGGGAAUGGCGGAAUUGGCAGACGCGCUAGAUUCAGGUUCUAGUGAGCAUUACGCUCAUGCAGGUUCAAGUCCUGUUUCCCGCA
rnacentral:tRNA from 1 species